CUGUAUUUAUGGUUGAAAGGAGAUUUCUUAUUCCUGUGAAAUAUAUCAUUAAAGCACUAGGAACAUUAGCAAAUCAGCACUUUCUGAGUUUUCCACUAGUGAUCAGUUCAGAUCUGGUUAUCUUGUAUGUGAAGUGAAUUUGGUGCUUUUAACCCUAGAGCAGAAAACUUCCAUUGUCAUUGAUAUGUUAGUUUCUUGUGAGCCUUAAAUUAUUAAAUAUUGUAGAUAUACUUCUUUAUAAAUAAUUUUAUUAGUUACCUUCCUGUUUCAGAAUUUCUGAGUAACUCAGUCAUGUGCUUACUGGCCCCACUCAAAAAAGUAUGUGCAGCUUUUUGCUUCUUUUUUUUUUUUUUUUUUUUUUGUGUGGUUUUACAGUUUUAUAUCUUUGUUAUAUUUUUGAGACCUAAAGGAAAAAAAUACACUGUCUGCUGUUACUGGUUUCAAUCCAGUGCACAAUGGAUCGAAAGUGAUCUGAACAGAUUUUCAAGUGCACAACAGAUCAAAAACAUGAGGGAGCAGAUAGGCACAAUAAGAAAGGAGAAUAUUGAGUGCAAUAUCUGCAGAACUGUUUUCAUUGUACGCUCCAGGUUCCUUGAGCGUGUGUAUCAGUCACCUUUAUGCAUGCACACACCAUUUGUGCACACAGUUCUCUGGUUUUAGUUCUCUCAGACCGGGAGUGGAUGGCAAUUCAGGAGUCGGACGUGGCGUGCUGUGCUGCUUCAACAACCAUCGCCUGGCUUUUCUCUUGGACAUGUGUGGGAAGCACCAUCUUUUCAUCAAAACACACCCCUGGUUUCUUCAAUUUCCAAACAAAACCUCAGCGCUGUGGAUUUUACAGUUGAGGUGUUGUUGAGAGACGAGUGACACAUUGGCUUCAUCAGGAUCACAGAUAACUCUGAAGACCGACACAAAUUUGCUCCUUUAGCUCAAAGAGCUUUCUUACAAUUUCUCUUGCAAAGGACAUCUCUGUUUCCCCCUCCAGCUUCUGUUGUAUUGCUGAAGGAUUUCCAUGCCUUUCCCACAUCCUGUGGCACAGCAAGUGUAGCAGAGAAGAGAAGGCUUAAUUGUCAACAUCGCUCAAGAGCAACCUGGAGCUCAAGCAGGAGUGGUGUUCUCCAGACAGCUCUCCACGGCUUCCCUAGCACACCAGUGAGCCACGAGACCGAGGCAGAAAUUCCAGUGUGGGGAGAGUGUGAGUCAUGAGAUGCUUUUUGCAUGACACUCUCCUGAUUGCCUUCCUCCUGCAAGCACUGACCAUUAGGAAAACACUGCUGCAGAGUCUGAAACAAACCAGCCUAUUCCUUGUUCUCAAGUCAUCUUGGGUUGGAAGCUGCUGAAAAACUUCCUUCUGGAUAAAUAACUGUGAUGUCCCCUUCAUCCCCAGAAUUGGAUUCCUUCACUAGGAAUGCUGAAAGACUGGUCUGCUCCAAGGUUUCUCUCACAGAAGAACUGUUCAGCUUCACAACAGGAGUGAGAAAAGUUUAAAUGCUUUGGGGCUCACUCCCAGGCACAAGACUUUAUUUGAGCUUUUGUUUGGAAAUAAAUUGAGUUCUUGUCAUAGAUUGGGCAUCUUCUCCCGUGGUUCUUACAUAUCAAAAUUUCUCAUCAUUCUGGAAGAAGAUUAAAGUGUUAGUUCUCUUUCUUUUAUUGCCACUCAUCUUUGUUUAUUUAUUUUGUAUUCUUGAGAUGUGCUGCAUCUCUGGAGUUUAUAUUUCUACUUUGACCGUAAAAAUGCUGUACAUACAAGUCUAGAAUGCAUCUGAAGAUUAGUCUAAUUUUUCAUGUGACUUUGACUUGAACAUUUUUCUGUUUAUGUUUAUAUUGCUAUUUCAAAUAUGUGCAUUACCUGUAUUCUUUAUGCCUUUUCCCCAUCUAUAACUCAAUAAAAUAAUGUCUCCAUUCUUCAGAA